GCGCUCUGGGCAGCAGCUGAGAAGGGGCGGUCCUGCGGAAUGCGUCGAAGAGGGCUCCGCGCUCCAAGAGAGAAGCCUGAGGACAAAGUUCUGGGAGAUCGGCAUUGACUAUGUAAGUAACAACAACGGCCUAAAGAAGCAACAAGAAAGGAACCGAGUGCCUGGAGAACUUCAUGGAGCAGAGCCACUUGCCUACUUUGGAUCAUCUGUCUCUAAGAGAGGGAAAUAAACAUUUCUUUUGUGUGAGCCACUGUUUUCAGUGGCCUUUUUGUUAUAUGUAGCAGCUUAGCUUGGCCCUAACUAAUAAAGGCAGACAUGUGGCUGCCUCUAUUGCAGAAGGGCUUUCUCUGUGUGAUAGGAAUGCAUCCCCCAAAUCUUCGCCAUCUGAUUGGGAAAAGAACCUGGCCCUAUAGCUCCAAUUUUAAAAGCCCAGGGAAGGGCUGUUUGGACUAGCUGAGUCCCAUGCUUACCUCCUAGAUUAUUGGCUCUCAGUGGGGAGGGAGAGGAUUUUGCCCCCCAGGGACAUUGUCCCCCAGAAGACAUUGCCAAAUGUUAAUGUCUGGAGACAUUUUUGGUUGUUUUAAUGGGGGCAGGGGGCCAGGUGUGGCGGCUCAUGCCUGUAAUCCUAGCAUUUUGGCAGGCC
rnacentral:lncRNA from 1 species